UAGAGGAAGUAAAAGUCGUAACAAGGUUUCCGUAGGUGAACAUGCGGAAGGAUCAUUACCGAAUUGUCAACACGAGUUGUUGCUGGUCCUCAAAUGGGGGCAUGUGCACACUCUGUUUACACAUCCACUCACACCUGUGCACCCUCUGUAGCUCUGUGGCAUGGGGGGCUCUGCCCUCCUGUCGUGGUUCUACGUCUUUACACACACUCUGUAACAAAGUCUCAUGGAAUGCAUGACGCGUUUAACGCAAUACAAUACAACUUUCAGCAACGGAUCUCUUGGCUCUCGCAUCGAUGAAGAACGCAGCGAAAUGCGAUAAGUAAUGUGAAUUGCAGAAUUCAGUGAAUCAUCGAAUCUUUGAACGCACCUUGCGCCCUUUGGCUAUUCUGAAGGGCAUGCCUGUUUGAGUAUCGUGAACACCUCAACUCUCGUGGUUUGCCAUGAUGAGUUUGGACUUGGGGGGUUUUGCUGGCCUGUGGUCAGCUCCUCUCAAAUGGAUCAGCUUGCCAGUGUUUGGUGGCACCACAGGUGUGAUAGCUAUCUACGCUUGUGGUUUCUGCCAGAUAACCUUCAGUGAUGGAGGUUCACUGGGGCUUAUAAAUGUCUCUCCUCAGUGAAGACAGCUAUUUGAACGUUUGAUCUCAAAUCAGGUAGGACUACCCGCUGAACUUAAGCAUAUCAUAAAGCGGGAGGA
rnacentral:rRNA from 1 species